rnacentral:rRNA from 1 species
UACGUAGGGGGCAAGCGUUGUCCGGAAUCAUUGGGCGUAAAGCGCGUGUAGGCGGUUCGGUAAGUCGGCUGUGAAAGUCCAGGGCUCAACCCUGGGAUGCCGGUCGAUACUGCCGGACUAGAGUUCGGAAGAGGCGAGUGGAAUUCCCGGUGUAGCGGUGAAAUGCGCAGAUAUCGGGAGGAACACCAAUGGCGAAGGCAGCUCGCUGGGACGUUACUGACGCUGAGACGCGAAAGCGUGGGGAGCGAACGAG